GAUCAUGGCUCAGGAUGAACGCUAGCGACAGGCUUAACACAUGCAAGUCGAGGGGCAGCGAGGUGUAGCAAUACACCGCCGGCGACCGGCGCACGGGUGAGUAACGCGUAUGCAACUUGCCUAUCAGAGGGGGAUAACCCGGCGAAAGUUGGACUAAUACCGCAUGAAGCAGGGAUCCCGCAUGGGAAUAUUUGCUAAAGAUUCAUCGCUGAUAGAUAGGCAUGCG
rnacentral:rRNA from 1 species